CGUCAGAUUUUGGAACGCACCCCUGAGAGGAAAUCCGUAUUAAACCGUUAGUGCAAGCAAUUACCACCAAGCAGAGGAGGCUACUUGUGAGACUCCUUGCAUCCCAUCUGCUGGAAACCAAUGGUGAAACGCCAUCAUCAGACACUAAGAAGGCCCGUGACAAGGCAUUGGUGUAUGAAUUUCCUUGCCUGAAGGAUAAUACAGCUGCUAAAGGGGAAACAGCACUGAAGAUGCCAACUCUGCUAGCUCCAUCCAUUUACAGGGGAGGAGGAAAAGUCUUCAGAUCUACCACUGUGGAGGCCCAG